CGUGUAGGCGGUUCGGUAAGUGAGAUGUGAAAGCCCCCGGCUCACCCGGGGAGGUGCAUUUCAUACUGCCGGACUUGAGUACGGAAGAGGAUGGGGGAAUUCCUGGUGUAGCGGUGAAAUGCGUAGAUAUCAGGAGGAACACCGGUGGCGAAGGCGCCCAUCUGGUCCGUUACUGACGCUGAGGCGCGAAAGCUAGGGGAGCGAACG
rnacentral:rRNA from 1 species